GAUGAACGCUGGCGGCGUGCCUAAUACAUGCAAGUCGAGCGAACAGACGAGGAGCUUGCUCCUCUGACGUUAGCGGCGGACGGGUGAGUAACACGUUGAUAACCUACCUAUAAGACUGGGAUAACUUCGGGAAACCGGAGCUAAUACCGGAUAAUAUAUUGAACCGCAUGGUUCAAUAGUGAAAGACGGUUUUGCUGUCACUUAUAGAUGGAUCCGCGCCGCAUUAGCUAGUUGGUAAGGUAACGGCUUACCAAGGCGACGAUGCGUAGCCGACGUGAGAGAGUGAUGGGCCACACUGGAACUGAGACGAUGUCCAGAAUUCUACGAGAGGCAGCAGUAGGGAAUCUUCCGCAAUGGGCGAAAGCCUGACGGAGCAACGCCGCGUGAGUGAUGAAGGUCUUCGGAUCGUAAAAAUCUGUUAUUAGGGAAGAACAAAUGUGUAAGUAACUAUGCAAGUCUUGACGGUACCUAAACAGAAAGCCACGGCUAACUACGUG
rnacentral:rRNA from 1 species